AGGUUACAUCUGAUAAUGAAAGAUAACAUGGAUGACAAAUAAAAGUAUCCAAGAAGCAGAAUUUUCAGCUGUGAGAGAGAGGAAUUCGGAGCCAUUGACUCGUAGCUGAACAAGUUGGUAUUAGCACAAAUGCUCUCUACCUGCCCCAACAAUAAUAACUUCCAAAAAACCAAAAAACAAAGAGGAGAGCUCAAAGGGGAUUAGAAAAUCAUAACCAAAUAGCCGACGGGUCCCACCAAUGGACCAUAUACGCUUCGUCCAGGUCUCAGGACAUUAUCGGAAAAGGAAAGGGAAGAUAACGACACCGAAAACAGAUACGGUUCCCAC
rnacentral:lncRNA from 1 species